rnacentral:rRNA from 1 species
GGUCGUAGGCCUACACGGUGCUCGGCAGGCGCUGGUCUGACUGCUAUCGGAAGCACCACCGAGUAGCCAGUGGAGACCACUGAGGCAAACGUAUUGGCGAUAUUGACGGGCGUGGGUGGCAGUACCAUCAGCCGAGGUGGCCGGUAUGCCUGAAUCAACGGCGGGAAUCCGGGCGGCUGGAUCACCUCCUUUAGGAGACUUGUUGGUGGGGUGAUGGCCUACCAAGGCGACGGGUCUGUAUUUGUCCGAAAGGGAGUCGGGCCACACUGGCACUGGGCUACAGCCCACCCUCCGCCGGGAGGCAGCAAUGGGGAAUAUUGCACAAAGGGCCUGAACUGAUGCCGGGACGCCGCUGGGGGGAUGACCCCCUUCGGGUUGUGAACCUACACCGCCAAUCGAACGAUUGCCCGGGUUUUCUCGGGCAUACCGUCGGGGGAGAAGAAUUGCCGGCCGACUAGAUGGCCACCGUCCCGGAAAAACUGACGGGGCGAUCGUUGUGCACAACUUACUGGGCGUAAAGAGCUCGUAAUGGAUGUGGUCGCGAUAGCUCGUGAAAUCUCACGACUCAACUGUGAGCGUGCGGGCGAUACUGGGCAGACUUGAGUACUGCAGGGGAGACUGGAAUUCUUGGUGUAGCGGUGGAAUGCGCAGAUAUCAGGAGGAACACCCGGUGGCGAAGGACGGGUCUCUGGGCAGUAACUGACGCUGAGGAGCGAAAGCGUGGGGAGCGAACAGGAUUAGAUACCGUGGUAGUCCACGCCGUAAACGGUGGGUACUAGGUGUGGGUUUCCUUCCUUGGGAUCCGUGCCGUAGCUAACGCAUUAAGUACCCCGCCUGGGGAGUACGGUCGCAAGGGCUAAAACUCAAAGAAAUUGACGGGGGCCCGCACAAGCGACGGAGCAUGUGGAUUAAUUCGAUGCAACGCGAAGAACCUUACCUGGGUUUGACAUGCACAGUUUGCUCGCAGAGAAGUCGGGUUCCCCUGUGGCCUGUUCACAUGUGGUGCAUGUCUGUGGUCAGCUCGUUUCGUGAGAAGAUGGUUUAAGUUCCCGCAACUAGGGCCCCCCCUGUCUCAGGUUCCCACCGGGUAAUGCCGGGAGGGGUUUUGACAUACUGCGGGGGUUCAACUGGGAGACAAGGGGGGGAGGAGGGUCAAGUCAUCAUCCCCCUGAUGGCCACGCCUUCACACAAGCUAACAAUGCCCGGUACAACAAGAUGCGAUCCCUCUAGGAUAAGUGAAUCCUUUUAAAGCCGGUUUCAUUUCCAAUCGUGGUAUGUAAAUAGUUUGAUCCUGGCUCAGGAAGAGCGUCAAGUCGUAUGCCGGCCUGGUGGUCGCGAACGCAGCCAGUCGGUCUGCCGUCCGAAGCAGCACCCAGUAGCCGGUGGAGCCCUCUGAGGCAAACGCAUGGGGAUAGGACCGCCCUAUCGUUAGUACCAUCGCCGGCUCGGGAUGUAGCAUCUCCCUAGACCUGCUUC